rnacentral:rRNA from 1 species
GACGAACGCUGGCGGCGUGCUUAACACAUGCAAGUCGAGCGGUAAGGCCCUUCGGGUACGACGAGCGGCGAACGGGUGAGUAACACGUGGGUGACCUGCCUUUAGCUCUGGGAGUAAGCCUGGGAAACUGGGUCUAAUACCGGAUAUGACCUCAUGAUGCAUGUUGUGGGGUGGAAAGCCUUGUGCGGCUGGAGAUGGGCCCGCGGCCUAUCAGCUUGUUGGUGGGGUGAGGCCUACCAAGGCGACGACGGGUAGCCGGCCUGAGAGGCGACCGGCCGACACUGGGACUGAGACACGGCCCAGACUCCUACGGG